CUCUGCGAACACGUAAGUGGAUGUAUAGGGUCUGACGCCUGCCCGGUGCCGGAAGGUUAAUUGAUGGGGUUAGCCGCAAGGCGAAGCUCUUGAUCGAAGCCCCGGUAAACGGCGGCCGUAACAAUAACGGUCCUAAGGUAGCGAAAUUCCUUGUCGGGUAAGUUCCGACCUGCACGAAUGGCGUAACGCUGGCCACACUGUCUCGACCCGAGACUCAGUGAAGUUGAAAUCGCUGUGAAGAUGCAGUGUAUCCGCGGUCGACGCGGCCG
rnacentral:rRNA from 1 species